rnacentral:lncRNA from 1 species
UGAAAAUAAACUGAUAACGUCAUGGCUAAAAAUGAAAAGGCAAACAGGCAAAUAAUACUACAAAAAAUACAAUAGGGAUAGUCGAACCAAUAUUUUGAAAAAAAAACUGACAACGUCAUGGCUAAAAAUGAAAAGUCCAACAGACAAAUAACAGUACAAAAGAUACAAGAAACAAUAGGGAUAGUCUAACCAAUAGAUUAAAAAUAAACUGACAAUUUCAUGGCUAAAAAUGAAAAGGCAAACAGGCAAAUAACACUACAAAAGAUACAAGAAACAAUAGGGAUAGUCGAACCAAUAAAUCAAAAAUAAACUGACAACGUCAUGGCUAAAAAUGAAAAGGCAAACAGGCAAAUAACACUACAAAAGAUACAA